rnacentral:lncRNA from 1 species
AAAAGCUCUCUUCCAUUAUCAUUUCCCAAGUAUUUAGUGAGCUGCUACAGUAUGCAUGUCAAUUUAAAAACACUUUAGUAAUUACCCAGGUUUGGCUCCUCCUACAGAGCACCACAUUGCAGGCAAGGCUUUCAUCAUUCACAAAGCUUCUGACAAGAUACUUAAACACAUACCAUUUAGGUUCCCACUAGCAGACACAGCACUGCUUUGUUUCUGGUUGUCAUAAGCAGGACCAAUAUUACUAAGAUCCUAGAAGAAGAAAUAUCCUAGUAAAAAAAAGGCCACAUGAGCAAAUUAAUCUGGCAACUGCUCCAAAAAUGGACAAAAUUAGAGCACAGAAAAUCAAAGUCAUGUCCUAAACAGCAAGCUGCAAGGUCCUCAACUUGGAUGCUUCAACAACUCACGAAGGAGCAUGUGCCAUGAGUCAGGGUCAGAAUGGUUCCAGGAGGGAACUGACCAAUCAACCGGUAGGCGGGAGCUGCACAGCAGGCCAGGACGAUGAAGUCCCCUCACUCUGCCCUCACAGCUGAGCUGUCCCACUGUAUGUGACAGCAACCUGAAUCUUCACUGUCCAUGCUAUAACAGUGACCACCUAGAGGCACCGCAGCUCUUCAAUCUGCAUGGGUAGCAGUGAGCUCCCACCUCAGCGACUGGGAAGGUGGCUGAGGACAGAGGUCCCCACAGUGUCAUGCUACACUGACAGAUCUCAUCUCAAAAAAGGCAGCAAGUCAGACACUUUAAGGCAAAUCUUCUUAGUUGCCAAUGUGUCCUUUGCAACAAAAAAUGGAAAUUUCUUUUUCCCAUAAGGAUCUAACAACAGAUUCCCCAGAAAUUUCUUCACACUAAAGAAUGCUUUUAGAAGCAAAAUUUCAGAUAACAGGAAGAUUAGAAAAAAACUUACAAAAAGUAAUCCCUAACACCGAGGAACAACCAGAAUCAAAACCGGUUCCUGAGCCAGGCACUGCGCCUCACACACGUAACCCCAGCAGAGAGAGCCAAGGCAGGAAGAACAGUCUUGAGUUUAAGCUAACCUGGGCUACAGUGAGAUCCUGUGACAAAGAGAUCACCACUAACUCCUGGGAACCGGGGAGCUGGGGAUAUGAACUCUUAUUUUAAGGCUUGAACACUUUUUAUUUGAGUCAAGGCCUCAUGUAGCCCAGGCUGGCCUCAAACUCGUGCUCUUCCUUGUUUGCACCUCCUCACUGCAUCACCAUGAACACACCAGGACUCCCAGGCAAGGACUGCUCUCAACUCGGCCACAUCCCUGGCCACAUGCUUCACCGCCCCUAAAUGGCUUCUGAUUAAAAAAAAAAGACUAUGGGGCAGGAGAGAUGGCUCAGUGGCUAGGAGCACUGCUGCUCUCCCAGCAGUCCCAGCUUGGAGUCCCCAGCACUGCAGGGAGCUCACAAGUGUCUGUAACUCGGGUUCCUAGAGCUCUGCUCCACUCCCUCGUCUGGCCUCUGCAGCCACACACAAACACAAUGCACAGACCUCAUACGGGAGAGAGAGACAGAGAGACAAAGAAGGAAGAUUAAUGUACCUGAUCCAAAAGUCCAAACUUGGGGUAAUCUUCUUCUGGGUCUUUGCUUCCUGGGUCAGGGUGUUCCUUUACCAAGAACACAUCUCUUUCCUUACUCUAAAAGGAAAUGGCAUCUUAGCAAGAAUGAGCAUUUUACUCACAAGUGUGGGGAUACUCACUCACCAACUGCCAAUGUCAAUGUCUAACUGUACUCUCCAAACCCAUCAGAAAAUCAGUGCAGACCAUAACAAGUCAAGUGAGAGCACUCAGAGCCCGGUCAGGCUGGGAGGCAGGAAGACCUCAGUGUGAGCCCUAGCACCACAAGAACACCAAGCAUGGCGGCUCCACACGGAAGGCCAGCACAAGGAACACAGAGGCAAGAGGAGAGACAAUGAGUUACAUGAGUUACAACUGUACUGGCACUCUGCAGGGAGAAGGCCGGGGGUCGGUCACCCUUGGCUACACACUGAGUUCAAUGCCUGGGCUACAAGAGACCUAAAAAUAACCAACAGGACAGUGAGGGCCAGUGCCCCACAACCCUCCUCUCUCCUCUUGCCUGGGUUAAGCAGACUUCUAAAGUCAAUGUUCAGAACAAGACUUUUCUUAUCUAAUGAAAAAAUUUAAAAAUGUAUCCAAAUUUAAUUUAAAAUUAAAUCUGCAAAAGUGUGGUGGACAGAGAUGGCUGGACCAGAGGGAUGGCUCAGUGCUUAAGAGCACCUGCUGCUUUCCAGAGCAUCCAGGUUUAGUUCCCAGCAUCAAUAUCAGGUGACUCAAAGCCAUCUAACUCCAAUUCCAGGGAUCCAAUGCCCCUUUCUGGUCUCUAUAGGUACACAUACACACACUCAAGCAUAUACAUAUAAAAUAAACAAAUCUU